GAUUUGCUUGAAAGCCGCCAGUUCUAUGAUCUAAAAGGUAAUGCAGCGUUCGUACCAAAUUAGUUCUGCCCACUGCGGUGCUCCUCUCAGCCCGGAAGCCAGCACCACGGGGACACUGGACAGGCGCUGCGUGCUGUCCUCCACGCACAAAGGUGGCAGCCCCAUUUGCAACUUUGCUAACUUAGCUGGCUCCCGCCCAGCCGGCCCCCGAAGCACAGUCACCGUGAAAACGUUUUGGUACCAGAAAACCAUUUCCACGACAGUGCGAGUGUUCGAAAGCACAAAGGCAGACACUGGCGACCGCGCUAGCUAGGAAGUUUCGGCACUCGGGGCGGCUGGGCGGAGCACGCGGCCAGUCAAACCUGGAAUGUUACUGAUUCUGAGAAGCCAAGGACACCAAGGAUCCUCUCUCUUCUGACGGGAGCUCACACAGUUUUCUGCCUCCCCUUCAGGGGCUUCUUGUCCCCUUGCACCACAUCCGUAGACUCCAGGUGCUGUCCAUGCUAUUGGCUCCUGAACCGACAGCAGAGUAGGAGGCCCUGGGGAGCAUCAACAUUCAAGAAGUGGUGCGGGGAAGAACCCAAAAGAAACCCAUGGAUUCUGAGAGCACGCAGCGAACUCCAGGAGUCAGCCCAGGUAGAACCCACCACAAGCUCUCAGCCGCAGGGGGACCAGGCAUAGUAGCAGCCCUCCACCUCCCAUCCUUACCGGCAAAGUGGAACAGGAGACCAUACCCUGUUACAUCAUUUUUCAAAAAGUGCCCUAACCUGUUCUGCUGGCUCCGUGAGUGGAUAUCUUCUCCAUAGUAAGGAUAUGGCCUGAUAGGAAUCGCCGAUGCUGACGAAAGCCGGGCUCACCAGUCGGAGGAGCAAACCUGCUCUGUGGGCACGUCCGGACCGGGAGUCUUCUCUGAUAAUUUCUUGGAUUUGCUGGAAAUGUGGCCAAAUCCCAUGGGUGAAAAUAUCCUCUCACUAAUUCCAAGAGCUCAUUAUCAGGCCCCUGGAAUUUCACUCUGGUUCCAUUUCUUUCCUGCAGAACUUUCUGCUUACUGGUGCCUUUUCUUUUUUUUUCCCAAUUUAAUUCAAGGCAACAAACACUUACUUAGAAUUUAUUAGGAGCCUUCUAAUUGUCCAUGAUCCUGCUCUCACGCCUGUGCAGCCCACUUUCCACAGGCAGCCAGAGUGACCUAUAAAAACAUAAGGACAUUAAGGCCACCUGCUUAAGAUGCCCUGAAAAUCUCCCAAACUUCUUCCUCUCACCUAAAAG